UACAGAGGUCCCAAGCGUUGUUCGGAUUCACUGGGCGUAAAGGGUGCGUAGGUGGUGAGGUAAGUCGGAUGUGAAAGCUCGGAGCUCAACUCCGAAAUGGCAUUGGAAACUACCUUGCUCGAGGGUUGGAGGGGGGACUGGAAUACUUGGUGUAGCAGUGAAAUGCGUAGAUAUCAGGAGGAACACCGGUGGCGAAGGCGGGUCUCUGGGCAACAACUGACGCUGAGGAGCGAAAGCGUGGGGAGCGAACAGG
rnacentral:rRNA from 1 species